rnacentral:rRNA from 2 species
UAGGGAAUCUUCGGCAAUGGACGAAAGUCUGACCGAGCAACGCCGCGUGAGUGAAGAAGGUUUUCGGAUCGUAAAACUCUGUUGUUAGAGAAGAACAAGGACGUUAGUAACUGAACGUCCCCUGACGGUAUCUAACCAGAAAGCCACGGCUAACUACGUGCCAGCAGCCGCGGUAAUACGUAGGUGGCAAGCGUUGUCCGGAUUUAUUGGGCGUAAAGCGAGCGCAGGCGGUUUCUUAAGUCUGAUGUGAAAGCCCCCGGCUCAACCGGGGAGGGUCAUUGGAAACUGGGAAACUUGAGUGCAGAAGAGGAGAGUGGAAUUCCAUGUGUAGCGGUGAAAUGCGUAGAUAUAUGGAGGAACACCAGUGGCGAAGGCGGCUCUCUGGUCUGUAACUGACGCUGAGGCUCGAAAGCGUGGGGAGCAAACAGG